rnacentral:rRNA from 1 species
UGGGGAAUAUUUCACAAUGGGCGCAAGCCUGAUGCAGCCAUGCCGCGUGUAUGAAGAAGGCCUUCGGGUUGUAAAGUACUUUCAGCGGGGAGGAAGGGAGUAAAGUUAAUACCUUUGCUCAUUUACGUUACCCGCAGAAGAAGCACCGGCUAACUCCGUGCCAGCAGCCGCGGUAAUACGGAGGGUGCAAGCGUUAAUCGGAAUUACUGGGCGUAAAGCGCACGCAGGCGGUUUGUUAAGUCAGAUGUUAAAUCCCCGGGCUAAACCUGGGAAGUGCAUCUGAAACUGGCAAGCUUGAGUCUCGUAGAGGGGGGUAGAAUUCCAGGUGUAGCGGUGAAAUGCGUAGAGAUCUGGAGGAAUACCGGUGGCGAAGGCGGCCCCCUGGACGAAGACUGACGCUCAGGUGCGAAAGCGUGGGGAGCAAACAGG